rnacentral:rRNA from 1 species
AUUCCAGCUCCAAUAGCGUAUAUUAAAGUUGUUGCAGUUAAAAAGCUCGUAGUUGGAUUUGUGGUAGCUCUUGGGGCCCAAUUUUGGUGCCUUUGAGAGAUGCCAUCCUUGGGUGGAAUUUGUGUGGCAUUAAGUUGUCGUGCAAGGGAUGCCCAUCAUUUACUGUGAAAAAAUUAGAGUGUUCAAAGCAGGCUUAUGCCAUUGAAUAUAUUAGCAUGGAAUAAUACGAUAGGACCUCGGUACUAUUUUGUUGGUUUGCGCACUGAGGUAAUGAUUAAUAGGGACAAUUGGGGGUAUUCGUAUUCCAUUGUCAGAGGUGAAAUUCUUGGAUUUUUGGAAGACGAACUACUGCGAAAGCAUUUACCAAGGAUGUUUUC